AUUGAACGCUGGCGGCAGGCCUAACACAUGCAAGUCGAACGAGUGGCGGACGGGUGAGUAAUGUCUGGGAAACUGCCUGAUGGAGGGGGAUAACUACUGGAAACGGUAGCUAAUACCGCAUACCAUCAGAUGUACCCAUAUGGGAUUAGCUAGUAGGUGGGGUAACGGCUCACCUAGGCGACGAUCCCUAGCUGGGCUGAGAGGAUGAUCAGCCACACUGGAAAUGCGACACGGUCCAGACUCCGACGGGAGGCAGAAGUGGGGAAUAUUGCACAAUGGGCGCAAGCCUGAUGCAGCCAUGCCGCGUGUAUGAAGAAGGCCUUAGGGUUGUAAAGUACUUUCAGCGGGGAGGCGUUACCCGCAGAAGAAGCACCGGCUAACUCCGUGCCAGCAGCCGCGGUAAUAC
rnacentral:rRNA from 1 species